GAUGAAGAACGUAGCGAAAUGCGAUAAGUAAUGUGAAUUGCAGAAUUCAGUGAAUCAUCGAAUCUUUGAACGCACAUUGCGCCCCCUGGUAUUCCGGGGGGCAUGCCUGUCCGAGCGUCAUUACAACCCUCAAGCUCAGCUUGGUGUUGGGCCCCGCCGCCCCGGCGGGCCCUAAAGUCAGUGGCGGUGCCGUCCGGCUCCGAGCGUAGUAAUUCUUCUCGCUCUGGAGGUCCGGUCGUGUGCUCGCCAGCAACCCCCAAUUUUUUUCAGGUUGACCUCGGAUCAGGUAGGGAUACCAGCUGAACUUAAGCAUAUCAAUAAGCGGAGGA
rnacentral:misc_RNA from 1 species